GCAGAUGGAGCUACCACCCUGCUACAAAAACUGGAAGGGGGACCUGUGGACCCUUGUCUGGAGGCUCAGGUUUUUCCUUACGGCUUUCCCAAGUGGUUGAAUAAAACAAUUUCAUUCUUGCUCAAACCCGUGUUUCCUCGUGUUUCUGCCAGCUUUGGUGCUCUUUGUGGAGUUGGGUGAGAAAGUAUCCUUGAAAUUGUUCAUUUUUGUGCUUGAAUCUCAGUUUCUUUGUUACAUUUCCAUGUGCUAGGAAUUAUAUCC